UGCAUGCGGUGGGCGGGCGGUGGGGCCCCGGGAUGGCUGUUCGUCUGAACCAGGUCGCCGGGCAUAUCGUGGCUCUCUCUCUCUGGAUAAUGUGUUAUUAUAGUUAUAGAUGAUGUAGUUAUAGAUGAUGGCUUUAUUUGAACCCAUCGCGCGGCGCUUGCCGACAGAAAGAGAUGUUCUCUUUUUGUUAUUUGGAUAGUUAUAGUUUACUAUGGUUUUUAUGUGAAUUGCGCAGGAAGAAGCAAGAAAAACGGCUUCCGUCCUGUGGCCAUGGGAGAUAGGUAGAGAGAGGUAACAGGAUCUCUCGCUCUUUCUCUCUCCCUCCCUCACUUUCUCUCUCUCUCUCUCUCUUUUUUUUUACCUUUUUUUCUUUUUUCUCCCUCCUAAACUAAACUUUCCGCUUGCAGGCUGGUUCCUGCAGCACGGCGGCCGUUGAUCGGGGCUGGUUCCGUGGGUUUGGAUCGCCUGAUGGGGGAUCGCGAGGUGCGGUGGGGGGAAAAUGGAAAAAAUCUGGAAAAAAAAAUUAAAAAAAAAAAAUUGGAGAAAAUUGGAGAAAAUCGAGAUAGCAAGUCAUUGCUGUGCUGUGGAUACGAAAUAAAAUAAAAUUCACUUCUUCUCAUGGUUACGGAUAUAUGACUACUUGUUUGAUUUUAAUCGAAGAGUAAAAAUUUUGCACCUGGCGCCAGCUGUGUAGAUAUACUUCGGAUAUGGCUUUAAUAUU
rnacentral:sRNA from 1 species